AUUGAACGCUGGCGGCAGGCUUAACACAUGCAAGUCGAGCGGAGAUGAGGUGCUUGCACCUUAUCUUAGCGGCGGACGGGUGAGUAAUGCUUAGGAAUCUGCCUAUUAGUGGGGGACAACAUUCCGAAAGGAAUGCUAAUACCGCAUACGUCCUACGGGAGAAAGCAGGGGAUCUUCGGACCUUGCGCUAAUAGAUGAGCCUAAGUCGGAUUAGCUAGUUGGUGGGGUAAAGGCCUACCAAGGCGACGAUCUGUAGCGGGUCUGAGAGGAUGAUCCGCCACACUGGGACUGAGACACGGCCCAGACUCCUACGGGAGGCAGCAGUGGGGAAUAUUGGACAAUGGGGGGAACCCUGAUCCAGCCAUGCCGCGUGUGUGAAGAAGGCCUUAUGGUUGUAAAGCACUUUAAGCGAGGAGGAGGCUACUGAGACUAAUACUCUUGGAUAGUGGACGUUACUCGCAGAAUAAGCACCGGCUAACUCUGUGCCAGCAGCCGCGGUAAUAC
rnacentral:rRNA from 1 species